AUAUACGUGCACUGCUACAAUACCAGGUUACGGAAGUUGCAAGAAAAUACCAGUACUUCAGUUAAUGUGCCAAACUCAGGUUUCAACACUCCUGUGAAGGGUUACCAGCCUUCCCUAUCAAAUCAGUUCUCUGGGCAAUACAUUGUUGAUAGAUUGGAGGGAGUUGAGAAAUUGAUUUUGGACUAUUUGCAGCAGCCAGCAUUGCUUGAAAGUGUGAAGGGGG